rnacentral:rRNA from 1 species
ACGGGAGGCAGCAGUGGGGAAUAUUGCACAAUGGGGGAAACCCUGAUGCAGCGACGCCGCGUGAGUGAAGAAGUAUUUCGGUAUGUAAAGCUCUAUCAGCAGGGAAGAAAAUGACGGUACCUGACUAAGAAGCACCGGCUAAAUACGUGCCAGCAGCCGCGGUAAUACGUAUGGUGCAAGCGUUAUCCGGAUUUACUGGGUGUAAAGGGAGCGUAGACGGCGAGGCAAGUCUGAAGUGAAAUGCGGGGGCUCAACCCCUGAACUGCUUUGGAAACUGUUUUGCUAGAGUGCAGGGGAGGUAAGUGGAAUUCCUAGUGUAGCGGUGAAAUGCGUAGAUAUUAGGAGGAACACCGGCGGCGAAGGCGGCUUACUGGACUGUAACUGACGUUGAGGCUCGAAAGCGUGGGGAGCAAACAGGAUUAGAUACCCUGGUA